AGGCAGCCCCGUUUCCUAGGUGGAGUGGAAGGUAACUUCGGAACAAGUUCUGCGAAGAACGCCUUGUGAGAGCUUGGCCUGAGGAGUGCUGUAAGUUCAAAGUGAC